rnacentral:lncRNA from 1 species
UCGCAAACUAUUCUAUAUAACAGUCCCGUUCUGUGUACCUACAUGAUUCUGCAUGCAUUUAAUCCAUAAAGACUCAUAACACUGCAUAACUGAAAGAUUUUUGUAGCACGUUAAGCAGAAGGCGAACAGCAUUAUAAUUCUGCAACGAUCAGAUGAUCGAACAUAGUAAAAAUUCCUAUUUGGAGUCGGUUUAAUUUCUUAACAAAAUAAACAUGUUGGCUCUAAAUAAAAAUAAAUAAAUAAAUAUAUAUACUCCAUAUUAUAUGCUACUUAACGCCAUUGAUCAAACUACCAAUAUAAAAACAUAAAAUCUGCACCCCUCUCGCC